rnacentral:misc_RNA from 1 species
UUAGAUGCGAUACUUAGUGCGAUUUGCAUGAAUCUGUGAGUCAUCGAGUCUUUGAACGCAACUUGCGCCAUUUAUGGCAUGUCUAUUUGAGCACCAAAUACCUAAUGCGUCAUUGCGAACUGCCAAACAGGGUGUAUUGGCUAAAUUAGGCAAGUCAAAAGGGGUAUGAGGUGGAAGCUAGAGGCGAGGACGGUUGCUUCUCUGUCUUGUUCCACCUCAAUAACCCAACUAAACCGGUCUCAGAUUAGGCAAGAUUACCCGCUGAACUUAA